rnacentral:misc_RNA from 1 species
GAUGAAGAACGUAGCGAAAUGCGAUAAGUAAUGUGAAUUGCAGAAUUCAGUGAAUCAUCGAAUCUUUGAACGCACCUUGCACCCUUUGGCAUUCCGAAGGGUAUGCUCGUUUGAGUGUCAUUGUACUCUCACACUCCCACUCUUUUGGAUUGGGAGCGGUGGACUUGGGUGUUGCUGCUUCACUGUGGCUCGCCUCAAAUGGAGUAGUGCAACUCUCGGUUGGACAUAGUACGGCGUGAUAAGUGUCUUCGCCGGCGCCUCACUAGAGGGUGGCCGAUCGGGAGCUCUGUGCUUCAAACCGUCUUCGGACAAUCUCUGACAACUUGACCUCAAAUCGAGUAGGACUACCCGCUGAACUUAAGCAUAUCAAUAAGCGGAGGA